CCAGGUGAGGUGAAUUCAGGUGAGGGGAGAUGAUGACCUGCUCUGUUAUUUAGCGUGCUGUCCGAGCUGGAGCUCGUUUGGUUGUCUUUUUAAACUCUCUCGUGAGUGUGUAUAUUUAUUCUGAGGUGCCAUAAUGGGCGUCACGAGGCUUCCUGUUUUCGCGGUCCUCCUUGCAGUUAUAUCUCACUCGUUUGGUUCCCCAGUGGCGCACGAGUAUCCAAGAGACACGGGUGUCGUCCUAAUGCAAGCCGAUAAUCCAGAUCCAGUGUUCCAUACUUUAAUCCAUCACCCUGUGAAAGCAAUGCUAUGGGAUGGAGAUUUGGAUGGCUCUGGAUUUAACGGUUGAACCAGGAUGAUUGGAAAAGUCAAGGGGCACUGAGGGAUAUUCCACCAUUCCAUCUCAUCUCUUUUGCCUCGCCUCACCUCGUCUGUGCCGGAGUUCAUGGAGGAUUUCUCGGAUGAAUGUACAGCUCUGAAUAAAUGUCAAAUUCCUGAAGAGGUCUUGCUGGCUUGUCUUUCUACUGACUGUCUUUAAUUCAUGAACUUCUGCAGUGUGCUUGUGUUGCGU